rnacentral:sRNA from 1 species
GCCGGGCGUGGUGGUGCACGCCUGUCAUCCCAGCGGCUCGGGAGGCUGAGGCAGGAGGAUCUCAAGUUCGAAGCCAGCCUCAGGAAAAGACAGGCGCUGAGGAAAUCAGGGAGACCCUGUCUCUA